UGGAGGAAUGAAGAGUAGAUAAGGUACUGGUACCUGAUGAAUCUGAGGCCAGGUUUCAAUACUUUAUCUACUUUUCAUUUCCCCAAACGUACUUAC
rnacentral:pre_miRNA from 13 species